AACGAACGCUGGCGGCAGGCUUAACACAUGCAAGUCGAGCGCCCCGCCAGGGGAGCGGCAGACGGGUGAGUAACGCGUGGGAACGUACCUUUUGGUUCGGAACAACUCCGGGAAACUGGAGCUAAUACCGGAUAAGCCCUAACGGGGAAAGAUUUAUCGCCGAAAGAUCGGCCCGCGUCUGAUUAGCUAGUUGGUGAGGUAACGGCUCACCAAGGCGACGAUCAGUAGCUGGUCUGAGAGGAUGAUCAGCCACACUGGGACUAAGACACGGCCCAGACUCCUACGGGAGGCAGCAGUGGGGAAUAUUGGACAAUGGGCGCAAGCCUGAUCCAGCCAUGCCGCGUGAGUGAUGAAGGCCUUAGGGUUGUAAAGCUCUUUUGUCCGGGAAGAUAAUGACUGUACCGGAAGAAUAAGCCCCGGCUAACUUCGUG
rnacentral:rRNA from 1 species